AGGAAUUUGGGGUUCCCAUGCUUCUGCUCAAAUCUUGAAGCAGAAGCUGACCUAAGCACCAUGAAGAGCAGCUUACCUGCCUUCUUGGGCAGCAAAGGUGAUGAACUUAGCAUCAGGGAACAAGCAAGAGCUGUUUCAAAUAAUGAGGGUUUACAAAGAAAGAGUAAAAUAAAAACUAGCAUUCUGAUGGCAUGAAAAAAAAAAUUAAAAAUUGUACACUCUGAUUGCACUGAACAUUAUUUCUGGCGUCAAACAUCAUCAGACUUGAGGCAUCUUAAGUGAUUAAUUUUUUUCUGAUUAGAUUUCAAAAGCCUGUUACAGUACAUGCUGCUGCCUUCAGCUUUCUGUUUCCUCCAUCUCAUCUUCUUCUUCUUCUCCUUGUUCAUAUGCUCCCAGUACUUGCAUUUCUGCAACAUUUCUUCGGGCUAUAUUUGCUUGAUCUGCCCUCUGUCUCCCUCCUGAUCCUCUCGAAGACAUAGAGCUGGAGGAGCUGGGAUCUCUGGGAUUAUUUGACGUUGGAAACGUUGGUCUAGAAUAUGGCAGGAUGUCCUCUUGAAGAAGAUGAGUUUUUGCUGGUGUGCCUUCUCGUUUUGGUGCUUUACUUCCUCGCAGUUUCCCGUCGCCUUGCUGUUCCUGUGAUUCUCUCCGCUCUCCUGAAUUUGUCCGCAUGUCUGAAUGCUGUCUCCCAUCCACCCCGUCCCUCCCCUUGUAGCUCACUCCUUUUCUUUCCGCAGAUCUGUCUGUCCUCGGUUCUAUAGAAGCCAGUUUUGGCAACAUGACAGGUCGCACCUCCAGCUGAGAUUUGGACUGGGCGGUUGGUGAUUUUAUAGCGGGAGGUGGCACGGGAGGGGGUGGCAAGUCAUCUGUGUAGACUUCUCUGCGCAGAUGUCCUGGCUGGUGUUUUUGCUUUUUGGCAGGUCGGACCUUCUGUAUUACAACAGCACUCAUGUUGCUGUCAGUAGAUACAGGGCUGGUAGGUCUGGGACAAUGUGAUGCAUGAAAAUGUCUACGGCCUCCUGCUGCAUCCUGCAUUUGACGUCUGGC
rnacentral:lncRNA from 1 species